rnacentral:tRNA from 1 species
GCCUGUGUACACAGUAGUGGAGAGCUGGGUUCCUGCGUCUAAAGCGGGAUCGUAUCGUAGGUUCGAAUCCUACCACAGGCG